GACGAACGCUGGCGGCGUGCUUAACACAUGCAAGUCGAACGGUGAAGCGAGUGCUUGCACUCGUGGAUCAGUGGCGAACGGGUGAGUAACACGUGAGUAACCUGCCCAUCACUCUGGGAUAAGCACUGGAAACGGUGUCUAAUACUGGAUACGACCAACCCCUGCAUGGGGUGUUGGUGGAAAGAUUUAUCGGUGAUGGAUGGACUCGCGGCCUAUCAGCUUGUUGGCGGGGUAAUGGCCCACCAAGGCGACGACGGGUAGCCGGCCUGAGAGGGUGACCGGCCACACUGGGACUGGGACACGGCCCAGACUCCUACGGGAGGCAGCAGUGGGGAAUAUUGCACAAUGGGCGAAAGCCUGAUGCAGCGACGCCGCGUGGGGGAUGACGGCCUUCGGGCUGUAAACCUCUUUCAGCAGGGAAGAAGCGAAAGUGACGGUACCUGCAGAAGAAGCACCGGCUAACUACGUG
rnacentral:rRNA from 1 species